rnacentral:rRNA from 1 species
CGGUUGAUCCUGCCGGAGGCCACUGCUUUUGGGGUUCGAUUAAGCCAUGCGAGUCGAGAGGGUUCGGCCCUCGGCAUACGGCUCAGUAACACGCGGAUAACCUACCCUUAGGAGGGGGAUAACCUCGGGAAACUGAGGAUAAUACCCCAUAGGUCUGGUAUGCUGGAACGCUUCCAGGUCGAAAGCCCCGGCGCCUAAGGAUGGGUCUGCGGCCUAUCAGGUUGUAGUGGGUGUAAGGGACCCACUAGCCGUCGACGGGUACGGGCUGUGAGAGCAGUAGCCCGGAGAUGGACUCUGAGACACGAGUCCAGGCCCUACGGGGCGCAGCAGGCGCGAAACCUUCGCAAUGCGCGAAAGCGCGACGAGGGAACCCCAAGUGCCUAUGCAUUGCAUAGGCUUUUCAUAUGCCUAAAAAGCAUGUGGAAUAAGGGCUGGGUAAGACGGGUGCCAGCCGCCGCGGUAAUACCCGCAGCUCGAGUGGUGACCGCUAUUAUUGAGCCUAAAGCGUCCGUAGCCGGUUUCAUAAAUCCUUGGGUAAAUCGGGCAGCUUAACUGUCCGAAGUCCGGGGACACUGCGAAACUUGGGACCGGGAGAGGUCGGAGGUACUCUAGGGGUAGGGGUAAAAU